UGCGCCUACGGGGGGCAGCAGUGAGGAAUAUUGGUCAAUGGACGAGAGUCUGAACCAGCCAAGUAGCGUGAAGGAUGACUGCCCUAUGGGUUGUAAACUUCUUUUAUAUGGGAAUAAAGUGAGCCACGUGUGGCUUUUUGUAUGUACCAUACGAAUAAGGAUCGGCUAACUCCGUGCCAGCAGCCGCGGUAAUACGGAGGAUCCGAGCGUUAUCCGGAAUGAUUGGGCGUAAAGGGUGCGUAGGCGGCCUGCUAAGUCUGGAGUGAAAGGUACCGGCUCAACCGGUACAGGCUCUGGAAACUGGC
rnacentral:rRNA from 1 species